rnacentral:lncRNA from 1 species
UUUCAGGGGACGGAGCUAUGAGAUCCUAGGAAAGUGGAGGGGAAGGCACAAGGGAAAGGAAUGAAGACAAGAGUUCCACACUGGGCUAUGCUGGGCUUCCCUGCCAGAAGGAAAGCUGGGAAAGAACCUAAGAGGAAGUGAGAGAGGAAUUAGAGAGCUGGAGACACCUGGUACCCGUUGAAAGUCCAAAGACCAUAAGGUGUGUCUCAUUUGCAUCUUUCAUCGGCAAGCCUCCAGCCUGUCCUCAUACUCAGCUCUUCCUUCAGCUCUGCAUAGCAUCCAAAGACCUGAAGACUCUAAGGCUCCAGGUCCAGCAGCAGUUCCAAGAACAUGUCCGCAUACGACAACAAAGCCUUCAAGGAUAUUGGAAAGGACCCUGCAGUGACCACCUCUAUAGACUAUAAGUCCCAGAGCUCCCAGGGCUUUUCCAAGAUAAGUCAAACAUGGCAGUCGAAUAAGAUCUUCCAGAUACAAAACCAACUCCCAACUAGAGAAAUGGAGAUCCUGACAUAUGUCAUAAGUGAUAUCGAUACAUUCGUGGGAGAAGUCGAAAAAGCCAUCUCUAAAACAAAGCCAACAGGUCCUCCCUUUACAGCAUGGCUCCCAGCCCCCCAGUACAUAGACUAUUUCCAGAAGAUCAAGUAUGCCUUCAACCUCCUGGGGAAGAUAACCUGCCUGAAUGAGUCAAGCAUCCAUGGACUCAUCCUCAACCUCUUCAAUACUCUGGAAUUUGUGAGUGUGAAGGCUGGGGGCAAGCAGCGAGCAAUGAGUAUGAUACAGGGGGAAGAGGUGGGGCAGAAGGACUAAAAUCCAAGACAAGAGAAUGAAUAGAAGGCAAAUCUGAAUAAAUCAAAGCACAUGGGUCUGAAAGGUGAUGGG